rnacentral:rRNA from 1 species
GUCGAGAAGCUUCGGCAAUGGGCGAAAGCCUGACCGAGCGACGCCGCGUGAGCGAAGAAGGCCCUAUGGGUUGUAAAGCUCUGUCAGAUUGGGAAGAAAACCUCGCGGUUAAUACCCGCGAGGCCUGACGGUACCAUCAGAGGAAGCACCGGCUAACCCCGUGCCAGCAGCCGCGGUAAUACGGGGGGUGCAAGCGUUGUUCGGAUUCACUGGGUAUAAAGGGUGCGCAGGCGGCCUGUUAAGUCAGAGGUGAAAUUUGUCGGCUCAACCGACAGACUGCCCCUGAAACUGACAGGCUUGAGUCCGGGAGAGGAAGGUGGAAUUCCAGGUGUAGCGGUGAAAUGCGUAAAUAUCUGGAGGAACACCGGUGGCGAAGGCGGCCUUCUGGCCCGGAACUGACGCUCAGGCACGAAAGCUAGGGGAGCGAACGGGAUUAGAUACCCCAGUAGUCC